GCGAGGACGUAAAACGUACAAACAUUCAUUCCAAAUUUAACCUUAUCAUUAAUACCAUUUAGAAGAGGCUAUUCAAGCUACUUCGUCGCACCUAAGAGCAUGAACACAAGGUCGGUAGUAAUUCGAAGUAUUGCUCUUUUCACUCUCGGAAUAAUAGCAUGGAUGGCUUAUGUGUCUCUAAAAAUCAGACGCAACGACAUAGCAUUUGGAACGAUGCAUGUUAAGGAGACGGGUAUUACAAAGGGAGAGACAGUAAUGGU
rnacentral:lncRNA from 1 species